AUGGCCGAGGAAGGCAUAGCUGCUGGAGGUGUAAUGGACGUCAACACUGCUCUACAAGAGGUGCUCAAGACCGCCCUCAUCCAGGAUGGCCUAGCACGUGGCAUACUCGAAGCUGCCAAAGCCUUAGUUAGACAAGCGCCAAGCCCAUCUCUGUGUGCUCGCAUCCAACUGUGAUGAGCCCAUGUAUGUCAAGCUGGUGGAGGCACUUUGUGCUGAGCACCAAAUCAACCUGAUAAAGGUUGAUGACAACAAGAAACUAGGGGAAUGGGUAGGCCUCUGUAGAAUCGAUCGAGAGGGGAAACCACGGAAGGUGGUCGGUUGCUGUUGCGUAGUGGUUAAGGACUAUGGCAAAGAAUCUUAGGCCAAGGAUGAUAUCGAGGAAUACUCCAAAUUCAAUAAAU
rnacentral:lncRNA from 1 species